rnacentral:tRNA from 1 species
GGAGAAGUGUCCGAGAGGCUGAAGGAGCACGCCUGGAAAGUGUGUAUACGUUUAUCCGUAUCGAGGGUUCGAAUCCCUCCUUCUCCGCCA